AACGAACGCUGGCGGCAUGCCUAACACAUGCAAGUCGAACGAGACCUUCGGGUCUAGUGGCGCACGGGUGCGUAACGCGUGGGAACCUGCCCUUAGGUUCGGAAUAACUCCCCGAAAGGGGUGCUAAUACCGGAUAAUGUCUUCGGACCAAAGAUUUAUCGCCUUUGGAUGGGCCCGCGUUGGAUUAGCUAGUUGGUAGGGUAAAAGCCUACCAAGGCGACGAUCCAUAGCUGGUCUGAGAGGAUGAUCAGCCACACUGGGACUGAGACACGGCCCAGACUCCUACGGGAGGCAGCAGUGGGGAAUAUUGGACAAUGGGCGAAAGCCUGAUCCAGCGAUGCCGCGUGAGUGAUGAAGGCCUUAGGGUUGUAAAGCUCUUUUACCCGGGAUGAUAAUGACAGUACCGGGAGAAUAAGCUCCGGCUAGCUCCGU
rnacentral:rRNA from 1 species